GUUACAAGUAAUCAAUGCAUCUGAUUCUACUUAUUCGCUUUCGAUUUUUAGAGUAACAUCCCUAGAGAUUAAAAAGAAAAAAGGUCAGCUGACGUAACAUUGUAACGAUCUGCAAUUAUUAAGAUC